GAUCCUGGCUCAGGAUGAACGCUAGCUACAGGCUUAACACAUGCAAGUCGAGGGGAAACGACAUCGAAAGCUUGCUUUUGAUGGGCGUCGACCGGCGCACGGGUGAGUAACGCGUAUCCAACCUGCCUACCACUUGGGGAUAACCUUGCGAAAGUAAGACUAAUACCCAAUGACAUCCNCCGAAGACACUCUGAAUGGGAGUUAAAGAAUUAUUGUGGAUGGUAUGGGAGGUGCGUCGUGAUUAG
rnacentral:rRNA from 1 species